rnacentral:rRNA from 1 species
GACGAACGCUGGCGGCGUGCCUAAUACAUGCAAGUCGAACGCUUCUUUCCUCCCGAGUGCUUGCACUCAAUUGGAAAGAGGAGUGGCGGACGGGUGAGUAACACGUGGGUAACCUACCCAUCAGAGGGGGAUAACACUUGGAAACAGGUGCUAAUACCGCAUAAAAGUUUAUGCCGCAUGGCAUAAGAGUGAAAGGCGCUUUCGGGGGUCGCUGAUGGAUGGACCCGCGGUGCAUUAGCUAGUUGGUGAGGUAACGGCUCACCAAGGCCACGAUGCAUAGCCGACCUGAGAGGGUGAUCGGCCACACUGGGACUGAGACACGGCCCAGACUCCUACGGGAGGCAGCAGUAGGGAAUCUUCGGCAAAGGACGAAAGUCUGACCGAGCAACGCCGCGUGAGUGAAGAAGGUUUUCGGAUCGUAAAACUCUGUUGUUAGAGAAGAACAAGGACGUUAGUAACUGAACGUCCCCUGACGGUAUCUAACCAGAAAGCCACGGCUAACUACGUG